UCCUUUCCCCACAGGCACGGAAGCAUCUAGAGAGUUUUGAGGCUACUCACUGCACCCCUCUCCCACCCAGUGCAUUUCAUACCCCUUGGAGAAUAUAACUUAUUGGAAAAGUUGUGGGACUAAAUACCACUGUCUGAGCCACACACCAGCUGAUCCUGUACCUCCUGUGUCCUACCACCCAAUGCUCUUUUAUGAAUGGCAGCUAAUGCAGGUGAAAGAUAAAUGGAAGCCAUCCUGAUCGCCUUUUAUCUCUUGGACUAUUAAUUUUUUUUAUUUUUAAUUAAAUGGGUUUCUGUAUUGAAGGGGCAAAAUGAACAUAAGGUUAAAAUCUGAAGGAAAGUCUGAGUAAUAGCUAUUAAAAUGUGAAUGCUUCUACCAAGAUUUACUUUCAAGUGUCAUGCAGUUGGAAAUAUUUUGUCAUUCACACAGUCGCCACAGGGUGUCACUGUCACACCACUAGCAAAAUACUUCCUGUAAUAUACAAAGUGACCACAUGGUGUCACUGUCACUAGUUACAAUAUAUGUUUGCAAAACAAACACGCACAAAAAAGGGGGGAUACUUAUUGUAGAGUGCUCCAGAAAGGAAGGGCCUAUCCCUGAAGACAUCAAAUGGAAGAAAAUAAAUAUCCAGGCACACCUGAGGUUCUGAAAUUCUCCACUUCCUUGUUUCAAAUAAAAAGGCUGCAUUUUAGAAGAAACCUCAGAUGUGCCUGGAUAUUUUUCUUCCAUUAGUUACUCGAUCCACCAGUGAGAGCAUUUCCUCAAAGUAAACCAGGAUUUGUCAAUCUUAAAUACCAUGCUCAGCAACCCCGCUAAACUAAUUUUCUCUACACAAGAGAUCCUCAACAUGAUGGAUAAAUUAUUAGUUUUUUAGCAUUUAGUGAUUUACUUAUUAGACUGUCUCACGUGGUGGUUUAAACUGCUUCAGACUGUCUGGAUGGGUUUUUUUAAAAUACAGGAAUAGAUUUAUAAAAGUAAAGCAUAAAUAAUGUAAUAAACCUUUUAAACUUGAUUUGCGAUUAAUGGGGAAAAAAUGAGUUAAAGAAAAGCCAGAUUUUAAGGUAUUAAAUGACUUUGUACACAUUUUUUUGACUUUGUACACAUCUCUAAUAACCAGAAGGAGUGACAGCAUUUUGGGAAGCAAGAGGUCCAAAAUGUUAUUAUAGCUCUUUAUAAUGACCUGCUUGCAGAGUUUUGUCUCUGGAGGGGAAAAAAAUAAUUUCUUCAUUAAGCCCAAAUUUCAAUUAAUUAAAAGACAUUUCUCAUUCAGGCAAAAAAAUGCUUGUUUCAAAAAAUGUCUCCAAAUUUACUGUAGUCACAUUGUGGCUUUCAGCACAAAUUUCUGACGUUUAGGGAAUAAACCAUAAAUUCUUGAUAAUGUAUGAGCUGUGAUUGACUUUGAUAAAGUUAGAGUUUUUAGUAUGAAUGAUUGAACAUCCAACCCUCUUACAAACACGUCAGACCUGCUUGUCUUCUGAGAGCCAGUCCUGCUGAUGAAACAAGCUAUUUUUUUUCCUUUAACUCUUUGUUCUACAUCCUGCUUUAUUUAUUAAAAUAUUUAACAAGGAAAAGGUACAUUUUGCUCUGCGAAUCACUAAUGUGUGAAUUGGUGGGAAAUCAGAGCUGACUUGGAGAAUUUGGCUGUUUUAGCUUAAACCUGAAAUCCUUUAUGCAUUGCCAACAAGUCACCCUUUAGUGAAUAACUCUGUUCACAUUCACCAUCUUUCAACCACUUCGUAGGGUCUAGAUGUUAUUAAGCAAAAAGGGAUGGGGCUGCGCCACAAUAUAAAAAGUAGAUAAAUAUAAAUCCUAGUUUGGAUAAGAGUCCAGGAGGGUGGAACUGAAAUCCUGUGCUGGUCUCUGGGGCUGCGGACUUCCGCUUCUUGCAGUGGUUAAAUAUAAAGGGCCACUCUCCAAUUAUUUUCAAGGGCACAUGAGGGAGUCCUUGUUUGAAAUUGCUGCCUCUUCCUCUUAGGAUUUACUAGCGCUGACUCUCUUCUAGAUGUUAUUACCCAACUCAUUGCUACUUUUUGCAAAGAGACAUCGUCUGAGAAUAUUUUACCUUCUGUCUUCCCUGUCUCUCCCAGAACACAGACUAGUCUAAAGGGAGUUCCAUAGGAGCAGUGCAGGACUAGCGAUGUCUUUAUAGUGAGUGUUAGCAGAGGACAGGCAGGGUCUGGGAUGAGAUAAUAUAAGCUUAGCACGCUAAAGAGUUCUGGAGCCAGUCACUGGGAUUUGUUUUACCAGGAUCUGGAGACCGGAUAAAAGGACUGAAGGGAGAUGUUGGAAUCGAAGAGAGGAGGCAGCAAUCCUAUAGAGUUUAUGGUUGUACUGUAGACCUGGAGGGAGACUAGUAUGGGAGAAGUGCUUGUAGGAAAGGAAUUCUGUGGUUUCUUCAUGCUUCCUUCUGGGGUGUGAGAACAGUCAAUAUGGUGAGGGGAUAGUGGAGACAGGUGGAGCUCUCCUUAUUAAGGACUUCAAGUAGCCCCUUCGUCCCUGGCCCUUCACACACAUGCAUUCUUUCUCUCUCCAUUUAUCCAGAAACUCUGAAUUCUAGCAAUUUACAAUGAUUGAGCAAUAGUCACAGCUAGGUUGUUUUGGUUUCCAUUUUACCAUUCAAAUUACAAUUUACUACAAAGUGUGGGGGUGAAUAAAUGUAAAUAUGUUUAGGUAUUUAGAUUAUUCACUAAACUCAGAAUUGUACCAAAAACAACAAUUGUACUAAAAUAGACAAUUUGGGCCUAGAACAGAGUGGGAGGAUUUUUCCAGAUCCGUUAUUUCAGCUCAGUUUUGCAUUCAGAGAUCUGUUUGGUGAAAUUCAGAUAUUUGGAAAUGAACUUGAGUUAUUGUUGAGAAUAAAAAAAAAAUCCCACCUUCAGGAUGAGACUGCUUUCCGGAUGUUUUUCGUGAGUGCUCGUCACCUUUUCUGCUGCUACUGGGAGGAGCUACUCGUGGGCUGGGUUAUAGUGAAUUAAUUGAAUGGGGAGAAAUGGAUUCUAUGUUUUCUAAAGCUUUUAAAUGAUGUAAUGAUGCAUGCAGAAACUAAGAAAUUCAAUUUUUUAAGUUACUUGUAUUUUCUUCCAGAAAUGAUCACAGAAUAGUGAGAUAAAUACAUAUACCAGUGUUGGAAAAUGUUAAAAUAUAUAUAGAUAGAUUCAUACCAAAUUACAUUAUCGGAUGUAAGCUCAACAGAAUAGCCAAGAUAAUCUACCCACAGGAUUCACAGUGCAUCGUCUGUUUAACUAACUCCAUGAUGGAUACAUUGACAUAUAAAGUGGACAGAGCCGUGUGGGAACAAGAAGUGGAUGCACCAAUUAGGAACCACAUGCUACUUGUAAACUUGGGAGAAUCUAAAUGACAGCAAAAAAAUCUUUUAUCAGGCUGUGUAAGUCAGGUCCUAGGGGGGACUGCUUAAUCUAUCUGCUGCCCCAUAUUGCAUUACUUCCCUUGUCUUCUAAUCCCCAACAUGGACCAUGUCUCUAGUGCAAAAACAAAUUAAUGUCCUGGAUCCACUAACAGUUUGGCACAAAGCCGCCCCCCAAGCAUUUCUCACAGUAG